CUUAGGAUAGUCGGUAGAUAGCUCACUUUGUUGAGGGCUACAGUUGGACUUGCAUCCUCAAAAACUGUAAGUUUAUUGUUUUUAAUAGCUUUUGGUCGUUCGUGGGCUCACAUGUCACUAUAAAUUAAAUUUUAUACUUUGGUUAUCUGUAUUACAGUAUGUAUGAAUUUAUUUAGCUUUUACGCUACAAAAAUUAUUUACCGGUAACUCUAUAAAUAUUGUUUUAUAAGAAAAU
rnacentral:lncRNA from 1 species